GACGAACGCUGGCGGCGUGCCUAAUACAUGCAAGUCGAACGAAGCUGUUUUAACUGGUGCUUGCACCGACUUAAACAACUGAGUGGCGAACGGGUGAGUAACACGUGGGUAACCUGCCCCAAAGCGGGGGAUAACAUUUGGAAACAGAUGCUAAUACCGCAUAACCACAGAAACCACAUGGUUGCUGUGUCAAAGAUGGUUUCGGCUAUCACUUUGGGAUGGACCCGCGGCGUAUUAGCUAGUUGGUAAGGUAAUGGCUUACCAAGGCAAUGAUACGUAGCCGAACUGAGAGGUUGAUCGGCCACAUUGGGACUGAGACACGGCCCAAACUCCUACGGGAGGCAGCAGUAGGGAAUCUUCCACAAUGGACGAAAGUCUGAUGGAGCAACGCCGCGUGAGUGAAGAAGGUUUUCGGGUCGUAAAACUCUGUUGUCAGAGAAGAACGUGUGCGAGAGUAACUGCUCGUGCAGUGACGGUAUCUGGCCAGAAAGCCACGGCUAACUACGUGCCAGCCGCCGCAGUAA
rnacentral:rRNA from 1 species